UACUACAUCGCUGUGGAAUAAGUGAGGGCUGAAGAUGUUGGAGGCCAGAGUCCAGAGCUCUGCGCUGGAAAAACACAGCAGCAUUAUCCAAUGAAGUUGAGACAAGAGCAGGAUGGGGCAGAAUGAUGGAGAUUUGAAUACAUUAUUGUAAAAGUGCCUGUGACAUAGCUGUGUGAAGCUGUCAGGGAAUAAAUCCCAGGAUUUGGAUCCAGUGAUGGAGAAUGAAUGAUGACAUAUUUCCAAGUUGAAAUGGACACUUUCCAUUUGCUCAAGCCAAAUUGGUUGCACUUCUUUGUUCCAUGUUAAAAUCCAUGGAUAUAGUUCUGGCUAUACAGUCCCA